GAGUUUUGAGAUGGAAUGAAUUUAUUUUAAAUGUCAGAAAGACAUGAGUUUGGGGACGGGCAGGGGCAGAAUGGUGUGGUACAAUGUUUGUGUCCCUUCAAAAUUCAUAUUGAAACCUAAUCACCAUUGUGUUGGUAUUAAGAGGUGCAACCCAGCCAGACGUGGUGGCUCACGCCUGUAAUCCCAGCACUUUGGAAGGCCGAGGCAGGCGGAUCACCUUAGGUCAGGAGUUUGAGACCAGCCUCGCCAAUAUGGCAAAACCCCAUCUCUACUAAAAGUACAAAAAUUAGGUGGGUGUGGUGGCAGGUGCCUGUAAUUCUGGCUACUCAGGAGGCUGAGGCAGGAGAAUAGCUUGAACCCAGGAGGAGGAGGAGGCUGCAGUGGGCUGAGAUGUCGCCACUGCACUCCAGCCUGGGUGACAAGAGCGAGACUUCAUGUCAAAAAAAAAAAAAAGAGGUGCAUCCCUUUGGGAGGCACCCCUCAUGAAUGUGAUUCAUGCCUUUAUGAAAGAGACUGAAGGGAAUGUCUUCGCCUCUUUAGGUCUUUCCAGAGACACAUAGAAGGUGCCAUCUAUGAGGAACAGGCCUUCACCAGACAUCAAAUCUGUUGGCAUCUUGAUCUUUGACUUCUCCACCGCCAGAACUAGAUCAAGACAUGAAAUCCAUGUUCAAGAUACUUUCCAGUGUGUCUUCAUGUGAUCCUCUGAGUCCAGCCAUCAGGCUACCAGCAGCUCUUGGAAACCCUGACAUACUUAUUCUUAGAAGACUGCUUUCCGGACUCAAAGUGGAACCUCAAAUUUUCAAUUUUCUUUGUUUUUAAAGCCUACACAUAGGUGAUGAUAUAUACAUGCAUAUAUAUUUUGGAGAAUUCAUAAUUCUGAAAACAAUGCUG
rnacentral:lncRNA from 1 species